UCAUGACCAAAUCCCAUGCUCUUUUAUUACGCCUCUCUUUAUCAAAUGUACCCAACUCAACAAUUAUGCCUACCUAGGAGAAUUGGGAAUGAGAUUGAGAGGUUAAAAGGGACUCAAUUCGUUUGGGGAUCGAACGAACAAUGAAGAAACGCUCACUUGUAGUCAAGUGGGAUACUCCCCCAAGGAAUCAUGGAGGGCUUGGCUUUUGGUUCGCUUGAAGCUGAGGGAGGGAAAAGGAAAGAGAAAGAAGGCUGAAAUCCUUGGUUUGGUUGUUGUUGUUGUUGUUGUUGUUUACUGAAUGGAGCGAGUCCGGCCGAGAAAGCACCAGAGGUGUAACUAUGGUGUAUGAGACACCAUCUUUUACGUUGCCUCUUAUUUUGGAUUAUACAAUGUAUCUGGUGCCAACUUAGGACAUAUCUUCUUUGUGGAGCAUGUAAACUCUAAUCCUUUUUAUUAAAAGUAUUUAUAUGACCAUGAGGAUUAUGUCUGUCGCUCAUGGUUUUAAUUGCCUUUUUGGAUAUUUUAAGACUUGUGUUAUGUCUUGGAUGUAUCAUGGUAAGAAAAUUUUCUACCAUGAUAAUAGUUUUAAUAAUUUACGAAAAAUUAGUUUGUAUUUUUGAGGGUGUUACAGGAAUCAUUGGUGCUGAAGCCCAGCUUGCCAUAACCACCAAUAACAAGCCUUAUGGGUUGAUCCGACUCAUAAUAAUUGUGUCCGUUGAACUUGUCAGACAAAAGAAGAGAGGACCAUUUGGCAGAACUCAACCCGUAGGGAGUUUCUCUAUGGGUGUGCAUUAGCAGAAUCUUGGUGCCGAAACCCACAGAAGACAGUCUCAAGCGGCUCAACUCAGACUCCCCUUCUGGUUGAACAUUGUUGCCUUCAAUUUCUAGGUCAAAGUCAACUUGCUUUGAUACCAUGUAGGAAUUUGGACCAGAAGCUUGAAAGUUCUACUCCGUUAUUCGGGAUAUAUACAUGAGUUACAUGAGCUGACUGUAUAGGGAAAUAAUAAACAAAAUCAAAUCACUCAUUUACACCCACAAUCUCAUAAUUAUAUUCCUAUAAA